GUCACUCGAUCGUGACGGGAGCUCGCCGUCUGAAAGUGGCGGCAGGAGAUGCAGGCGUCCCCGGACCAUGCGCGCCCGCCAGGUGCUUGACGGAUUGCGCGGGCACCGGCCGACGCACACCGCAGGUGCUUGCUCUCUGUACUCGAGCGUUAACUUGUGGCGACCGCACCAUGCACUGUCUCGCUCCUCUGUUAGUAUUCCCCUUUCUUAAUCAUGCGAAAUCAUUACGAAAUGACCCAUGGCUUAUGGUGCUUGGGUUCUGGACGGCAUGGUCGUUUGCAACGCUGCACUGCCACUGCGCGUCGGUCAGUGCCAGUGCAGUUACGACCGUUUGUGCCGGUUCUACAGUUUAUAUGAUAACUACUCUAUCCGCUGCAGCUAGCAUCUGAAAUUCUCAAUCAACGUCCCUGAAAUUAGCUUCCAUAUAGUUUUGCAGUUUGUGUCAGACUGUCAGUGCUGUGAUGGCACGGUAGAUAUGCAAUAGAAAUGGAUCGUCCAACUGUGAUUAAUUGACUGUGAACACCUCUAGUGCUGUUUUUAGGUCUGCAAUUUUCACCUUUGAUCUCACUGGGCAUCACACACUAGAAAAAUUAGGUAACAGUUUUGCGGCCAUAGGACGUGAAUAAAUGACAAACGCAAGAUCAUAAAGAAGAUAAACUACUCUGUUCCAUGAGCUACAAUUCCUUGAACUACAUAAUGGUGCCCAAACCAUACCAGUUGUCCAGUAUUCACUAUUCAGAUAACUAAACCACAAGUUGAACUGUUAUAAAAUCACAGUUUCACAACUAUGUUGCUAACUAGAAUUUCACUUUAUCCAGAAUCAUCAGUUGCCAUUGCACACUGGAAGAGAGUUCUCCAAAGGUUAUAGUUGUGUAAAUACUACCUAUCCACUAUACAUGAAUGCCUUUGGUGUUGAACUAUUUAAUUUGAGAAGGGAUGUUGAAACAAUCAAGUUUUUUCAAUGUGCAUAUUAACUCAAUACUAUCUUCAAAUUAAUACUAGUAUUCUAUUCACUACAGAAACAGCAUUGGUGGUUCUUAAAAAAAGUGACCAUGGAUUACACUGCUAUGCCACAAUAUUACUCCCUCCAUUCCAAAUUAUAAGUCGUUUGACUUUUUUUACCCCAAGUUUGACCACUCGUCUUAUUCAAAAAAUUUGUGCAAAUAUGAUCAAAUUUUAAGUCAUUCUUGAAUAACUUUUAUUAAUAAACCAAUACACAACAAAAAAAAGUAAUAUUUUGUACAAAACUUUGAAUAAGACGAGUGGUCAAACUUGAUAUUAAAAAAGUCAAACGACUUACAAUUUGGGAUGGAUUGAGUACAAUUUUAGGAAGUCUUAUUGCAAUGGUAGUGUUAUUAUUGCAAAUUCAAUUCAGUCCGUUAAUAUUUUCUCCGAACAAAUUUGGUUUAUCAUCACUAUUGCGAAUAUCAGAAGGCAGAGGAGUUUCAGAGAGAAGAGAAGAGCAUUGUGGUGCAACGUGCAACCACCAGCUAGGUAAUAUCAUGGAUCCCUUGACGGUGUACUGUCCACAUCACGCGUCAAGUCAAAUAGAGCAAAGCUUGGCGACCUGAGGUGUGAACAAUACUGCUUGCACAUGCUAACCAUCUCCCCCUCUUUUGUUAGGUCCCAGACAGAAACAGAUUAGUGCAUCUAAGCAUAUCUUAUCAACUCAACGAUUGUGUUGUGAGCACAGAAAGAAGGCCAAUUCAUCAAAAAGACAGACAUUACUAGCUUCUAUGUGCAUGAAUAUUAUGUACAUUCCAAACAUGAUAAGAACAUACAGCAAACUGACAAAAGGUGCAAGGGAUUCAGCUUGAGAAGAGGGCUAGACGGUCUACAAGUCUUAGGAUGGAUGAACUCUUCAAUACAGUGUCACUGAUGAUUCGUCUCCAACCUGCGAGGUGCUGUACUUCUUGGCUGAUUCCGGCUUUGACAUAUCACCAGACCGCCUACGGAGCAUCUGGCGCAUGCCAUCAGCCACGCGGACAGCAGGGUUCGACUUGAACAUCUUGCAGAAUGCCAUGUGAGCCCUCACAGCCUCCUCUACUCCUGGGUGAACCUUCUUCCUGCAUGCCUCAUCUCUGACGGCCUCACAGCACAGCCCACACAGCCAUUGGCCAUGGAAGCCUGCUCUCACGCUGGCAAUGUAGUCCAGGGUGCAGUCCUCCCUCAGGCCACAGCACUCGCACUUGACCGACUCUAUCUCCAUUGCUUGCUUGCUGCUGCUGCUGCUGCUUUGUAUGUGUCUUGAUUCCUUGGACUGAAGGCUAUUUGUAGGGAGGUUAUUAUGGUUGUGAGGGGCAGUGGUGGGGAGGGGUGGAGGAGGGUAUUUAUUGAUGGUGAGGUAUUGGUGCAUGUUCUGAGGUCAGAGAUUUGAGACAGAGUUAGUUGGGUGUGAGCCUCAUUUGCUGGCCUUUUCCUGGCAUUAAAAAAUUUUGGCAUCGGUUAGUGGCUAGAGGGGACGGGGCUGCUGGUGCUGUGGGAAUAUGGGGGGCCUCACGAAAUGCAAAGUUUGUCCCUUUGCUGAAUUCUGAGAAAGAGUACGCUUUCCCGUGCAAAUCGACCCACCAUGCCACCUUGUACUUUUCUUGGUUAACAGUUUUUUUCCGGCCCUUUUUCAAGUUUCAGUUUUCUUCACUCAUGGAUUCCUGUUCCUGUAAUAUUUGAACUUCAAACUUUUUGUUCCUGAUAAUAUAAAGGCCAAUCAUCUGUCAGGCUGAGGACACCUCACCCUGCUACCAGAUUAGAUUCUAUGAACUAAUUAGAUUCCUGUCAGAGAUUCAUAGUAGAGCGCAGUCAUCAUUCAUAAAGGAAAUUUAGGCUGGAUGUUGUUGUCAACCUACUGGUCAUCCUUUUUUUGUUUAAGACAAAGUUGAUUCAGAGUUGGUUCCUGAGAUAACCUGUUGUGGUCCUCCGCAUAAUUCUGAGCCUGGAUAUCCUAAAAGGACUUACAUGUUAGCAUUAUCUUUUGGAAGCCUUUCAUUGUGACAUGGUUUAUGAAUAGCUUUAGUCGGUUGGUGCUUCUUUUCUUGAAGGAUGGAAAGAGAUGGCUCCUACGAUUUGGACUGUCCCAUGGAAUCUUGUGCCGUGUUGAGUGUCUUCUACCUUUUUCUUAUCAGAUUGAAUUAGCUACUGCAUUAUGGAAGUAUGUAGAGUGAUAGGGAACAUUCACUAUAAUUGUGCUUUAACUGUAUAGCUGAAGUUUAUGUUCUAAGCAACUCAUAUUCAAAAUAAGUGGUUGGAGAGCUAAAGGAAAAAAUAAUAAAUGAAGGCUUCAGACUUCAGAGAAGAAUCCUCAUGAAAAGGUGAGGCUAUUUGGCCCCUUUAGUUCUUCAAUUUUCAACUUGAAAGUUCAAAAGAUGGCCUGUUCGUUUACUUAAGUAUCAUCAUUUUUUUGGUUUAUUUGUUGUUUGAUAAUCUCAUGUUACAUAUCAGGUGUUACAGCCAGAUUAGGGCUAUUCUAUUUCCUGUAUUUAUGGUUCACUGUGGCAGCAUGGGUUAAUGCUAAUGACUGAAACUGAAAUCCUCAGUGCCCCAUUUAUUUUGAUGCUGACUUGAUGUUCAUGGUUUUGAAGUUUGAUACAUUUGGUAGAAGUAAUGCACUGUAAAUCAUCAGAAUUCCAUUAUCUUGGGAGAUUAUUGAAUCAAAAUCUAUACUUCCGGGGCUGAUCUUCCUCUUUGUUGGCCCUAUGCUGAGCAUCCAGUUAUUUGGAGAAGAUUGAUUUCCUUUGCUAGUUCCAAUAAGAGACGAUAUAGCUUGCGUCUUGUUAGGGAUAUAAUUUUUUGUGUUCAAUAGUCAGUAUAUUUUUUGCAAGGGUGGUAUUAUACCAUAUUUCGUUCUGAAGGGGGCUUUGGGCCAAAGUGUCCGUGUACUCUGCAUAGUACAUAUAUAGACAUGGGGUCUACAAUACUGAAUACGACAAAGGCUAGGCCAUGACUGAAUACAAUGCAAAGAGGCUAUUAGGUUAAUCUAAAAAACAAUUAAGAGAAAUACAAUGUGGCUUAGCCUUAAGGAAACGCUAAGCUGAAACACACCCCACAAUUAUUAGAAUUUAAAAUACUGAACUCUUGUGAAAAAAAAUGUGUAAACACGUAUUUUUACUAAAGUAUAAGGUCAAUAGAUGACUGUCAGAACGUGCAAAAAUACAAUUGAUUGCAAUCAGAAACUGACAACACCCCCACCCCACUCCUGCCCCCCAAAAAAAGUCAAUUCAGGUUAUAGUCCUUGUACUGCCUAUUCAAUCCAAUCUAUACUCCUUUCCCGUUAAGGAUGCAUUAUUCUUCUUUAUACAGUGCACAAAAAAGUCAGGUCCUCGGAAAUCAUAUUAUGCUGCCAGUAUUACCUUUUGUUUCCAAUUACUACCUUUCGGUGAAGGUUACAGUGCUUGUUGACUUUUUAUCCAGUUACCUUUGUCUCUUUUUUUUCUGACUUUUCCAAGAGAAAUAGAGUGGUGCUCAAAAAAGAAAGAGAGAAAUAGAGCUUUUUAUUGCUAGCUGGAGGAGUCAUUAUCUAUUGCCAUACUAUCUUACCCUUUUCUUGCUGACUAAAUAGAACUGCCUAUUUGAUCUUUGCAGGUAAACUUUCUGAAUUCUUGAUACUGUGUAACCGGCAUUCUAAAUUCAUAUAUCACAAUAUAUGUUAACCAUGCUCUGGUUGCUGGAUAAGUUAAGAAGUCAUAAACCAUCUGUCUCAAUCUUCCAUUUAAAUAUCAUUUAUAUGCACAUGGUGCUUCUUCUUUUUGCAAUUUGAUUGACCACUAGUAUAAAAGGCUGCAUUUUAGGUUGGCCAUAGGCAAUCUCAUCCGCUCCAUGUAAUGAUUUCGUUCCCGGAGAUGAUGCUCAUCCACAUUGGCACAUCGUGUUGUAUACGGUACGAAUGUAGUUUUCAAUCAAUUUUAGUGUGGUGUCAUGAAUUUUGUAGUCCCUGUCAUGCCCUAUGACAUCCAUUCCCCUGCACAUGAUGCUACUCAAUUGCAUAUCAUCUUCUGUGAGUCGAUUGUAUUUUUUUUUAUUGGAUACCAUACAUGUAACUGUGGAGAAUAUUAAAUAUAUCAUCAGUUAGUAAGAU
rnacentral:lncRNA from 1 species